AGUGAACGCUGGCGGUAGGCCUAACACAUGCAAGUCGAACGGCAGCACAGUAAGAGCUUGCUCUUACGGGGGGCGAAUGGCGGGCGGGUGAGGAAUGCAUCGGGAUCUACUUUUUCGUGGAGGAUCACGUAAGUAGACUUACGCUCAUACCACAUACGACCUACGGGUGAAAGCAGGGGAUCUUCGGGCCUUGCGCGGUUGAAUGAGCCGCUGUCGGGUUAGCUAGUUGGCGGGGUAAAGGCCCACCCAGGCGACGAUCCGUAGCUGGUCUGAGAGGAUGAUCAGCCACACUGGAACUGAGACACGGUCCAGAGUCCUACGGGAGGCAGCAGUGGGGUAUAUUGGACAGUGGGCGGAAGUCUGAUACAGUCAGACCGAGUGGGUUAAGGAGGCCUUCGGGUUGUAAAGCCGUCUUGUUGGGUAAGAACCGCAGCCGGCUAAGACCACGCUGGUCUGACGGUAAUGAAAGAAUAAGCACCGGCUAACUUCGUG
rnacentral:rRNA from 1 species